rnacentral:rRNA from 1 species
UACAGAGGGUGCGAGCGUUAAUCGGAAUUACUGGGCGUAAAGCGCGCGUAGGCGGCUUUUCAAGCCGAUUGUGAAAUCCCCGGGCUUAACCUGGGAACUGCAGUCGGGACUGUCUAGCUAGAGUAUGGGAGAGGGAAGUGGAAUUUCAGGUGUAGCGGUGAAAUUCGUAGAUAUUCGCAAGAACACCAGUGGCGAAGGCGGCUCACUGGCCCGGUACUGACGCUGAGGUGCGAAAGCGUGGGGAGCAAACAGG